UACGUAGGGUGCGAGCGUUGUCCGGAAUUAUUGGGCGUAAAGAGCUCGUAGGCGGUUUGUCGCGUCGGCCGUGAAAACUUGGGGCUUAACCCCAAGCCUGCGGUCGAUACGGGCAGACUUGAGUUCGGCAGGGGAGACUGGAAUUCCUGGUGUAGCGGUGAAAUGCGCAGAUAUCAGGAGGACACCGGUGGCGAAGGCGGGUCUCUGGGCCGAUACUGACGCUGAGGAGCGAAAGCGUGGGGAGCGAACAGG
rnacentral:rRNA from 1 species